GACGAACGCUGGCGGCGUGCUUAACACAUGCAAGUCGAACGGUGAAGCGCCUUCCUUUUUGGUCGGUGUGGGUGAGUGGCGAACUGAUGAGUAACACGUGAGUAACCUGCCCCCUUCUUCUGGAUAACCGCAUGAAAGUGUGGCUAAUACGGGAUAUUCUGGGUCUGUCGCAUGAUAGGUCUGGGAAGGAUAUUGUUUCGGUGGGGGCUGUGCUCGCGGCCUAUCAGCUUGUUGGUGGGGUGAUGGCCUACCAAGGCGGUGCCGGGUAGACGGCCUGAGAGGGAGGACGGCCAAACGGGGACAGAGACACGGUGCAGACUCCAAAGGGAGGCAGCAGUGGGGAAUAGUGGACAAUGGGAGCAAGGCUGAAGCAGCGACGCCGCGUGAGGGAGGGAGGGCGUCGGGUUGUGAAGCUCUUUGGUUAGUGAAGCAGGUCUGCCUGGUUUGUGGGUGGGUUGACGGUAGCUGGAUAAGAAGCGCCGGCUAACUACGUG
rnacentral:rRNA from 1 species